CUGUGAAACAGCAAUGAAAACAACACAUGACAUUUCUACUACAUAACACGAGUGUGACCAAAACAACAGAAUGUGGUACAGUAUGUGGAUUCAAAAUGGUAGCUUUUACACGUUUUUAUUUUCACUGUAUUUGAAGUGAAACUGUGGUGAGACGCCUCCACUUUCUGUUUUAUCCUGGUUUAACUUCCUGUUUCCCAUGCUACCCUGGUCUGGCUUGACUGCUUCCAGAGCGCGCUCCCUCUCUCUGGUUGCUGAGGCGGAGCGAGACUCCACACCUGCGCUGCAUUGGCAAUCAAGGCCCUUUAAGAAGCCAGCAGCCCUCAGUCUUAGCGCCUGAGUAUUGUCUUCGCUCCUGAGUGGUACAGACGCUUCUCCUGGUCUUCUCCUGGACUAAGUGCUUGUGACUUUUGCUCCCUGUGAUUCCUCGUAUGAUUUCUAACCUCAUUCUCUUCUGCUUGUCCUCAGUGUCUCCAGCCCACACAACAGAAAGCCAGCCAACCGGACUUUCCUCGUGCCUUUUACCCUGAGUUUUGGACAUUAAAAAUAC